rnacentral:rRNA from 1 species
UACGUAGGGGGGCUAGCGUUGUCCGGAAUCAUUGGGCGUAAAGAGCGUGUAGGCGGCCCGGUAAGUCCGCUGUGAAAGUCCAGGGCUCAACCCUGGAAUGCCGGUGGAAACUGUCGGGCUAGAGUCCGGAAGAGGCGAGUGGAAUUCCUGGUGUAGCGGUGAAAUGCGCAGAUAUCUGGAAGAACACCCGUGGCUAAGGCGGCUCUCUAGUACGGUACUGACGCUGAGACGCGAAAGCGUGGGGAGCGAACAGG